AUCUACAGCAAUACCAUCCUGAAUGCACCCGAGCUCGUCUGAAGCUAAGCAGGGUCAGGCCUGGUUAGUACUUUGAUGGGAGACCACCUGGGAAUACCGGAUGCUGUAGGCU
ensembl:rRNA 5S_rRNA 5S ribosomal RNA